rnacentral:rRNA from 1 species
UACGAAGGGGGCUAGCGUUGUUCGGAAUUACUGGGCGUAAAGCGCGCGCAGGCGGCCCUUUAAGUCUACCCUUGAAAUGCCGGAGGUCAACUCCGUGCACGCCGGGGGAUACUGGGGGGCUGGAGACAUGUAGAGGCAGGCGGAAUUCCGGGUGUAGCGGUGGAAUGCGUAGAUAUCCGGAAGAACACCUGAGGCGAAGGCGGCUUGCUGGGCAUGAUCUGACGCUGAGGCGCGAAAGCGUGGGGAGCAAACAGG